rnacentral:lncRNA from 1 species
GGGGUUCCAAUGAUUCCUGUAGUUCACUGAGCUCUUGUAAAGAAGCAACCGUUUUUCCUGACCUUGACACUCAAGCAUUUUUGAUGGUUCUAGAAGUACCCAUUUUCAGGGGAGAAAUCAGUGGAAAACUACAGCAACGCCAUACAGGAAAAACCAUCAAGUGCUCAGAAAUGAAUGGUCACCCCAACAAAUAAAGAACAACGAUCAGCUGAGGUUCAAAUUGGAAGAAGGCCAACUGUGGCCUCAGGAUCAGUUGCAGACUUGAGAACAAUCGCAGCGGCCUGGAUUUUCAUGAUGUUUUAUGUAUUUGUAUAUACCAAUUUCUGUUUUUUCCUUCUUUUCCCCAAGUGUUCACAUUGGUUACAUUUAUUACUGAUCUUUAGGAUAUAAGAUUGUGGUGGCCAUGGAGGUGUACCACCCAGAUCUACUUCAAAAGAACCUGCUGUGGGAAGCAUAGUUGAUGACGGCCUUCAGCUACUGCUCCUCCAGAUCCAUCAUAGCUGUCACACUAACACUGCAUUUCUACGGAGUAUACCCAGCCAAUGGCUGAGAGUGGCAGGGUUCAACUUUUCUUGAACCAUUACUGCUCAACCUGGCACCCUUUGCUCAGGAAUUCUCAUCAACCUGGUCCAGACUUACUCAGACUUGCAAUGGGGUCUGAAGAUGCUCUGCCUCCUCCUGUUCCCAAGAUCCUUUAUCCUUGCCAGGCAUUUCCACCAAUAAAUCUCUUUCAUGUAUAAGUCAGUCUUGGCAUCGGCUCUUGGAGGACCCAAACUGACGGGGAUGUGAAGCUGAGAUUGUGAUUAAACAAUCUCACUCAAAGAUGGAUAUGAUGAUUUUAUGAGACUUUUCAGAGAGGAACAGAGUGUUCUGUUUGCAUAGAGAAUAGUCACAUUGUGUUAGGAGCAUGCUGUUACUAUUCUUGUUUUCUAGAAAUUUUAAUAAGGUUGUGUGCAUACAGUGAGCAGCCAAAGUGGUAGGCUUCCUAGAUCGUGUCUCAAUAGGCACUGAAAUCCAAUUCCCCUAAAUCCUAAUUCCAUUUUUCUGUGUCAUGUUGCAGCUGCCUCACUCUAGUAUUCUGGAUGUGAUUUGGGGUCCAGUGAGAUGCACUGACUAAUAUCUGCAGUGUACAAUGCAGGCAGCAGCAGCGCCAGCUAAAGCUGAGCUCUGGUAGAGUUGGAUUGGAUGUUUACAGUGACCUACCUCUUCAGUGUGAUAUUUCCUCACGGUCAUCAGCUACAGGCUGUGAGACAGCCUGGGGGAGACAGGAUAGCCAUGUUUCCCACUACCUCCCAACCACUGGCUGGUGCACCAGCCUCCUGGCCUUAGGUCGCAGCCACAGUGACGUGACCUCCUACAAUCCCUGGCAAGCUGGAGGAGCAGCCCUGCAACCAAGCCUGCUCUAAGAAAAGGCUUUCUGUUUACUAACCUGGAGCUGCUCUAUUCUUUCACCCUUGUUCCCCUUUCAGCUGUCUCGCGCAAGUACUAAUUUUGCCAUUAAAUACGCAUUUUGUUUUGCAAAAUGAGAAGAGCUUAUAAAUACUUCAAAUUUUCUCCGUCUGUUUCACUCCUUUCCAUUUCUUUCUAAAAUUACAGUAAAAUAUUAACUAUACAAAAUAUUGUUGUAUUUAUACAAAACAACAAUACCAUAAAAUAAAACACUACAUAGUUGAAGCCCUCUGAGGAUCUCUCCAUUUCUUCCAGCCAUAACGAAUACCCUGAACUUUACGUUUCUUUUCCCUUUGCGGUUGCUUAAUUUUUCUACAUCUGAAUAUAUCCUUACACGUUUUCAAAAUUUAUAGAAAUAUCCCACUGAAUACAUUUUUCUGUAACUUGCCUUUGCACUGCAUUGUGAGAUUCAGCUAUGUUGAUCUGUUUAACUCCAGCUGAUGUAUGUAAUGAUCCCUGAUGAUUAUUCUGCCGUUUGACUAUACCAAAAUUUAUUCAGGUCUCUGAUAAUGAGCAUUUAGAUUGGUUUGUUUUCCAUUUAUGAAUUUAGCAAUUAUGUGUUUCUAAUUUUUUGUUAUUAUAAACUAUGGUGCUACGAAUAUUCCUGUAUAUGCCACCUUCAAAAUUGUAAAAUUUCAACUGUUUUAAAAUACAGUCAUGUCAGGAUACAUUCUGAGAAAUGUAUCAUUGGGCAAUUUCAUUGCUAGGCACACAUCAAUGUAUGCAAAUCUAGAUGGCAUAGCCUACUACACACCUAGACCACAUGGCGUGGUGUGUUGCUCUGACCACCAUCAUAUAUGUAGUUCGUCAUUGACCAAAAUGGCAUUCUCCGGCACGUCUGUAUUAAAAUUUUUUAGUGGAAAACCAGUUUUUAAAAUCUGUUUUACAUGAAUGAUAGUUUUUAGUGUCAACAAUUUAAAUAUGGCAGUUAUUUUUUCUCAGCACAUUGGUGGUAUUAUUCCAACAUCUUUUAGCUUCCCUUGCUGCCGUUGAGAAGUCUGUUGAUUUCAUACUCCGCUGUAAGUAAUCCAUUUUUUCCUCGCAUAUGCUAAUUUUGAGAUCUUCUCUGCCUUUAUUGUUUUGCCAUUUCACUAAAAUAUGUUUAGAGAUAUAUAAAUUCUGCUUGGACUCUAUUGUGCUUCCAGAAUUGGAAGAUCAAUGUCUUUCAUUAAUUAUGGAACAUUCUUGGUCAUGGACUCAUUGAAUGAAUGUUUCCUUUUCUCCAUUAUUUCUAUUCUUUUCUUCUGAAACUUCAGUAGUCAUAUGUUAGUCCUUUUAACUCCAUCUGCCUUGUUUCGUAACUUCUCUCUCAUGUUUUCCCAUACUGCUUUUUAGCAUCCUGAGCAAUAUUCAGAUCCAUCUCCUGGUUUACUAUUUUUAUUUCCAUAAAUUUCACUGGAUUCUUUUUCAAUUCUGCCUGGCCAUUUUUUGAUGGUAUUUUGUUUUCAGUCUCAUUUUAAGUUUCUUCCUUUUAAAGAAUAUUUUAUACAUAAUUAUUUAUAUUUACUAUCUAAUAAUUUAAAUGUCUGAACUCUGGGUGUGUAAUCUUCUCUCCUGCUCUUUUUCAUGAUGGUUUGUUUUCCGUUUAUGAAUUUAGCAGUUGAAUGUUUUGUACUCACGUUUGGCCAAACUUAAUUCGUGGAAAUCUGUGGGAGACUGUAAAAAUAUCAGUGGUUGCCAGGGUAUAGAUGAACAAGUGAAGCACUGAGGAUUUUUAGGCAGGGAAGCCACUCUGUGUGAUUACUACAAUGGUGGCCACAUGUCAUCAUACACCCAUGAAAACCCAUAGCAUGUGCAAUGCAAACAGUGAAUCCUAACAUAAACUCUAGAUUCUAGUUAAUCAUAAUGCAUCACUAUUGGCUUAUUAAUUGUAAUGUGCCACACUAAUGCAAGAUAUUAAAAUAGAAAUUGGGAGGAGGUGGGGCAUAUGGGAAUCCAUUGUAUAAUACUUUACUUUAUGCUCAGUUUUUUUAUAAACCUGUAACUGUCAAAAGCCUAUUCAUUUUUUUAAAUGUAGAGAUAAAAAAAAAAACAAAAAAAAGUUAACCUUUGUGAUUUGGACUUAAACAGGGAACCCUAUCUCAGGGUCAUGAGAGAAAAGAACCAAGUGUCUCCUUCUGUGAACUGAAGGGCAUCAAGAAGAGUGGCGUUUUAGUGGCAUAGGGGAAGUCACUUUCUUUUGCCAUCUAAAGUUUCAGGGUACAUGUGCAGGUUUGUUACAUAUGUAUACAUGUGCCAUGUUGGUGUGCUGCACCCAUUAACUCUUCAUUUAACAUUAGGUUUAUCUCCUAAUGCUAUCCCUCCCCCCUCCCCCCACCCCACAACAGGCCCCAGUGUGUGAUGUUCCCCUUCCUGUGUCCAUGUGAUCUCAUUGCUCAAUUCCCACCUAUGAGUGAGAACAAGUGGUGUUUGGUUUUUUGUCCUUGCAAUAGUUUGCUGAGAGUGAUGGUGUCCAGCUUCAUCCAUGUCCCUACAAAGGACAUGAACUCAUCAUUUUUUAUGGCUGCAUCGUAUUCCAUGGUGUAUAUGUACCACAUUUUCUUUUUUUUAAUUUUAUUAUUAUUGUACUUCAAGUUUUAGGGUACAUGUGCACAAUGUUCAGGUUACAUAUGUAUACAUGUGCCAUGUUGGUGUGCUGCACCCAUUAACUCGUCAUUUAGCAUUAGGUAUAUCUCCUAAUGGUAUCCCUUCCCUCUCCCCCUACCCCACAACAGUCCCCAGUGUGUGAUGUUCCCCUUCCUGUGUCCAUGUGUUCUCAUUGUUCAAUUCCCACCUAUGAGUGAGAACAUGUGGUGUUUGGUUUUUUGUCCUGGUGACAGUUUGCUGAGAAUGAUGGUUUCCAGUUUCAUCCAUGUGCCUACAAAGGACAUGAACUCAUCAUUUUUUAUGGCUGCAUAGUAUUCCAUGGCGUAUAUGUGCCACAUUUUCUUAAUCCAGUCUAUCAUUGUUGGACAUUUAGGUUGGUUCCAAGACUUUGCUAUUGUGAAUAGUGC